rnacentral:snRNA from 1 species
GUGCUCGCUUCAGCAGCAGACAUUCUAAAAUUGUAACUAUACAGAGAAGAUUAACAUGGCCCCUGUGCAAGGAUGACACACAACUGUGCAAAGUGUUUCCAUAUUUUU